rnacentral:piRNA from 1 species
UGCUUUUGAUGUUGGACAAAGACCAGU